UGAGGGGGGCUGCUCCUAGUACGAGAGGACCGGAGUGGACGCAUCACUGGUGUUCGGGUUGUCAUGCCAAUGGCACUGCCCGGUAGCUAAAUGCGGAAGAGAUAAGUGCUGAAAGCAUCUAAGCACGAAACUUGCCCCGAGAUGAGUUCUCCCUGAGACUUAAAGUCUCCUGAAGGAACGUUGAAGACGACGACGUUGAUAGGCCGGGUGUGUAAGCGCAGCGAUGCGUUGAGCUAACCGGUACUAAUGAACCGUGAGGCUUAACCUUACAACGCCGAAG
rnacentral:rRNA from 1 species